rnacentral:rRNA from 1 species
CAGUAGCCGCGGGAAUACGGAGGAUCCAAGCGUUAUCCGGAAUCAUUGGGUUUAAAGGGUCCGUAGGCGGUCUUGUAAGUCAGUGGUGAAAGCCCAUCGCUCAACGGUGGAACGGCCAUUGAUACUGCAGGACUUGAAUUAUUGGGAAGUAACUAGAAUAUGUAGUGUAGCGGUGAAAUGCUUAGAGAUUACAUGGAAUACCAAUUGCGAAGGCAGGUUACUACCAAUUGAUUGACGCUGAUGGACGAAAGCGUGGGUAGCGAACAGGAUUAGAUACCCCUGUAGUCCCUGUCUCUUAUAC